rnacentral:tRNA from 1 species
CUUCCUCAGUAGCUCAGCGGUAGAGCGAUCGGCUGUUAACUGAUUGGUCGUAGGUUCGAAUCCUACUUGGGG